rnacentral:rRNA from 1 species
UACGGGGGGGGCAAGCGUUGUUCGGAUUUACUGGGCGUAAAGGGCGGGUAGGCGGCCACCGCAAGUCAGUUGUGAAAUCUCUGGGCUUAACCCAGAAAGGUCAACUGAUACUGCGGGGCUAGAGUGCAGAAGGGGCAACUGGAAUUCUCGGUGUAGCGGUGAAAUGCGUAGAUAUCAGGAGGAACACCGAUGGCGAAGGCAGGUCUCUGGGCCACUACUGACGCUGAGGCGCGAAAGCUAGGGGAGCAAACAGG